rnacentral:tRNA from 1 species
UUUUAUAUAGUAUAUAAAUUAUAUUUUAUUUCCAAUAAAAAGAAUUAAUUAAUAAUUAAUAUAAAAA